GUGUUGAGUCGUGUGUUGUAUUGCGAGAGUCGGGAGCUGCAGUACAGGAUUUUCGGUUACCGAUGUAAUGGUAACUUAUGCUGAACUUCACCCUUCCUGGAGCAGUUGAAGUUUUGAGAUCAGAGAUCAAAGCCAGUCCCCGGUCAGCGUCAUCAUUCUACAGGAGUCCGGCUGGGACAAAAUAGUCUAGAGCAACGUGACGAACAAUAAAGCGAAGCAGAUGUUGAGUUCAACCGGAGGUGAAAUUCUGAUACACUCACGCCAUUUACCUUUGAUAAAAUCCUUAUAUUAACAGUUUUUUAAAGCCUGGGUCCAAGCCAAAAAACAAUGACAUGAGUCUUUACAUCAAAAAAAAAAUUUGGAGCAAAAAAGAAAUUCAACAUCAGAAAAAAGGCAAAGGUACAAAGGUGUGGUGGAAAUUGUCCUUCCUAUCGUCUUUUCCUAUCUACUUUUCCUUGACCUCAGUGGAAAACAUCAUGAGGUCAAGGAAACAUGUAAAGGGAGAACUGAUAAGAAUUAGGAAAAGCCGACAGCACUGCUCAGAGAAUCCGACUCGACUUUGACUAUACUACGUCAUCACGCGACGGCAGAUGCUGUUGACGUGCGUGUGUCGUGGUGAAACUACAAAUUUCCGAAGAUGGACUACAAACAUCGCAGCUGUCACUUCAAGAUUUAGGAAACUUCCUAAACACAUUUAACAAUUGGAUCGUACCCCAAGACUGUGUACAUAAUUAUUUUAAGAGUGAAGGAACUACGCAACCCGUAAAUCCUUGCCGAUGCCUUUCCGACGACUUCAAACCAUUCAGAGAGGUUGAUGUUACAAUUUAGGAUUGUGGGUAGUGUAGUACAUUCUCAAUGAUAUGGCAAAUACAUUUUUUCCCCCUUUAAAGAAGGUUGAUAUCCUACGGACUUGUGGCUUCUAACGGUGCACAUACCAUCCUCUCACAACCUCAAAGCUCCUGGAGUAAGGUGCAGUCUGAACAGGUGAGUUUUCUGUAUGGGACGGAUGCAUUGAAGGGUUUCUAUUGCCCUGAUGUCAAUGGGGAGCACCAUCCACCAUUGUGGACAGGAUUCAGUUGAGUAAUACCACAACAACAACAUUUACACACAUACUAAUGAGUUAAACCAGUUUUUCAACAGGUCUGACUCACCAACACAGGCCUAGGGGCCUCUACUCCCUGUGUCCCCACCAACCACUCUCUCCCUCUCAUCCACAUUCCCCCAGUCUCUUCUGCCCCCCUACUCAUCUCUCUCUCUCUCUGCCCACCACCUGCGACCAAAAGGUCAUCGCAAUGACCCAUAUCCCCAACCACCCCCAGGCACCACAACCAACCAGGUGAGACGGAAACUCUUCAUGACCAAGAUCAGCAAGGCCAGAGGACCUGGCAACAUUAAGAGAGAGAGAGGACCACGUCACCAGAGCAGAACGCGUGUGGCCAUGAGUAGCUGACAUUUUAAAAGGACGCCGCAAGCAUUACACAGGACAAAUGCAUCAGGACAGCAAAGGGAGAGUGGAAUUUGCGUGCGAGCAAGACUGACAGAGCAAAUGCUGCAAAAAUGUAAUAAACCUACUUUGUGUUUGACAAA